GGUUCCUGUACAAUCACCGAAGUUAAGCAAUGUUGAGCCUGGUCAGUACCUAGAUGGGUGACUACUUGGGAAUAACAAGUGCUGUG